rnacentral:rRNA from 1 species
UACGUAGGGUGCAAGCGUUGUCCGGAAUUAUUGGGCGUAAAGAGCUCGUAGGCGGUUUGUCGUGUCUGCUGUGAAAAUCCAGGGCUUAACCCUGGACCUGCAGUGGGUACGGGCAGACUGGAGUGCGGUAGGGGAGAUCGGAAUUCCUGGUGUAGCGGUGAAAUGCGCAGAUAUCAGGAGGAACACCGGUGGCGAAGGCGGAUCUCUGGGCCGUAACUGACGCUGAGGAGCGAAAGCAUGGGGAGCGAACAGG